AGCGAACGUUUGCGGCGGGCCUAACACAUGCAAGUCGAACGUACUAGCAAUAGUGAGUGGCGCACGGGUGCGUAACACGUGGGUAAUCAACCCUUCAGCCUGGGAUAACGACUCGAAAGGGUCGCUAGUACCGGAUACGGCGCGAGAGGCUUCGGCUUCUCACGAGAAAGCCACGCAAGGGGCACUGAAGGACGAGCCUGCGGCCCAUCAGCUAGUUGGUGAGGUAAGAGCUCACCAAGGCUAAGACGGGUAGCUGGUCUGAGAGGAUGAUCAGCCACACUGGAACUGAGACACGGUCCAGACUCCUACGGGAGGCAGCAGUGGGGAAUAUUGCGCAAUGGGCGAAAGCCUGACGCAGCCACGCCGCGUGAGCGAUGAAGGCC
rnacentral:rRNA from 1 species